CCUGUAUAAACAGUGACUAUAAAUAUUUUCCAUUCUGUAUCACUCUUCAAACAGUCCCCUGUCGUAAUUUCAGUUUUGCAGCAGGAUGAGAAACCAGGAAGGAAAGCAUUCCUGCUGCUGAAGGGGCUUUCCCUUUUUCUCUGGCUGCGAAAACUCACCGGGUGCUGUUAAAACAGAACUAAUGGCGAGAGCGCGAUCGGAAGAGCCAGCCUGCUAUCAGCUGCAUUUCAAAGGAGGCUUUCUCAAAA
rnacentral:lncRNA from 12 species